GUUUGAGGCCGGGUUGGGGGUGUGCGAUUGUGUGGGACGGUCUGGGGCAGCCCAGCAGCGGCUGACCCUCUGCCUGCGGGGAAGGGAGUCGCCAGGCGGCCGUCAUGGCGGUGUCGGAGAGCCAGCUCAAGAAAAUGGUGUCCAAGUUAUAGAAGACAUAUGGGAAGCCAUAGAAGAUUGUGACCCAGUACAAAUACAGAGACCUAACUGUACGUGAAACUGUCAAUGUUAUUACUCUAUACAAAGAUCUCAAACCUGUUUUGGAUUCAUAUGUUUUUAACGAUGGCAGUUCCAGGGAACUAAUGAACCUCACUGGAACAAUCCCUGUGCCUUAUAGAGGUAAUACAUACAAUAUUCCAAUAUGCCUAUGGCUACUGGACACAUACCCAUAUAAUCCCCCUAUCUGUUUUGUUAAGCCUACUAGUUCAAUGACUAUUAAAACAGGAAAGCAUGUUGAUGCAAAUGGGAAGAUAUAUCUUCCUUAUCUACAUGAAUGGAAACACCCACAGUCAGACUUGUUGGGGCUUAUUCAGGUCAUGAUUGUGGUAUUUGGAGAUGAACCUCCAGUCUUCUCUCGUCCUAUUUCGGCAUCCUAUCCGCCAUACCAGGCAACGGGGCCACCAAAUACUUCCUACAUGCCAGGCAUGCCAGGUGGAAUCUCUCCAUACCCAUCCGGAUACCCUCC
rnacentral:lncRNA from 1 species